rnacentral:rRNA from 1 species
UACGGAGGGUGCGAGCGUUAUCCGGAAUUACUGGGUUUAAAGGGUGCGUAGGCGGCUAUGUAAGUCAGGAGUGAAAGUUUGCGGCUCAACCGUAAAAUUGCUUUUGAUACUGCAUGGCUGGGAUUAGGAUGAGGUCAGCGGAAUGUGGCAUGUAGCGGUGAAAUGCAUAGAUAUGCCAUAGAACACCAAUUGCGAAGGCAGCUGGCUAGACCUGGAUUGACGCUGAGGCACGAAAGCGUGGGGAGCGAACAGG